rnacentral:misc_RNA from 1 species
CACCUGGUCCUUGCCCCCGCUCCUUCUGCCCUCUUUCCACUUCCCCUGACAGGCGGGGAAUUUCAGGUUGCGUCAAGCGGGGCCUUUUUCUUUCACCUGUUCUUAUCUCUGUCGCCGCUGCUCCCAAUCCUUUUUCGUUCGGCUGCUGCACGGGCUCGGAGGCGUGCACGCGCCUACAUCAUUUUUCUCUCGUAGUCCUAUACCCUUUUCGUCCUCGGGCGCGUCAUCGAGCUUCUCACUCACAGGGUGUGACUUCCUCGUGUGCGUGCGUAUGCGACUAUGCUGCGCAGAGCCAUAUUCAUCGGUGCUCGGCACCAUGGUGGGAAGUUGGCGCCUUUUUUUCUUGUCUUAGGCAUUGGGUUGCUAUGCCUUCUUCCCGUGCUGCGCACGCGGAAGAUAUACAUCGAUGAAAACGCGAUCGGCCAAAUGUUCCCGUCGGCCGACGCCGGUUCCGUGACCGCGUACCUCGACCCCACGGUGCGCUGGCCACAACGACUAGUGCGGGGGCGGCGUUCUCCCGGGUCCGAGAUUGUGGCAGUGUAUGUGAACACAGAUUAUCCAGCCUCCGUCUCGCUCGCCAAUGCCUUGAUCGAGGUGAUCCGCCGCAGGAAGAGCCUCGCCUGUGACGUGCAGUUCUACUUUGUGAAUAGCAGCGAGGAGUGGCCGGUGCCGCAGGCGUACACCCGCGCCGCACUUGUGCUGAAUCUUUCCACCCUGUACAACCGCCACAUCUGCAUAGACACUCUCGGGGCAAACGGCAUCCAGCCCAACCAGGAUUACACAAACACCGCUGCUCAGUUUGCCGCUGCGAAUCAGUUUCUGCCCAGUUACCUCUGCCAACGACGGCAUCGCUCCACAGAUGAUGCUCACGCCGGCUUUUGGCACUACUGGGCUUACCUUGAAGCGUCUGUGCAGCUUCCAACUCGUCCGCAGCCGUGGCACAUCAUCCCAUCUCACAGCAUCAACACCAUUGCCAUAUCCUCCGACCCACUGUACAUGGCGAGCUCGAUGUUUCCACAUUCACAGUUGCCGGAUGCGUUCGCCCAGCUGGUGCUGCAGAUCAUUGUCUCCCUCAACGGUCUGGAGGAAAAGUUCCACCACUCCACCUUUGUGUGGCUGCCUGUGAGUCUGUGGCACUACGUCGAGUACGACCACGCACAGUUCUGCAUCAUAUUGUUCGUCGCCUCCAUAUUCUCCACGACGUACUCCGAGUAUCAGCUGCGUGGCAUCAGCAUUACCCCGCUGUUCGUGACGCUGCUGCUCACACCUGUUGCGGCUGCGGCUGUGUUUCAGGUCGCUGGCUGGGGGGCAGUAGCGGCGGCGUCGGCCGCGUUUUCGCUGCUCUUCCGGCUUCUCAUGGGCCAUGUCAAUAGCGGCAUGCUGCUCAGCUUCAACGCGAUAGCGCUGUGCCUUCUGAUCAUCCUGCAGCCGGCGUGCGGCUUAGUGGCUGGGGCGGCCGCUGCGAUCCAGGUCUCUUUCAUCCACAAUGCCCUUCAGAACCGCCCCGCCAUGGCUGUCGGCGCCGCUGUAUCGUCGGCGCUCGCCUACUACUUCAUUUACCACCUCCGGCUGCCACUCUUUGGUGUGGACGGCAUCAGCGAGUUGUUCGUGAGCUUUGUAAUUUACCCCAACGCGGUGUGGAUUGGCAGCCGGCUCCUGUGCUUGCUGUAUUGAGAGCCGCUACCUCUGCGCUCCGUCCGCGUACGCGGUACCACUGCCAUC